CGACGCCGCAGGAAGCCGGGGAGACGCCCCCUUCGUCUUCUAGUGGAGCAGGCCGAGGACCCCUUCGGGUGUCGGGCUGCCUCUGGCAGACGCCUGAUCAUAAAGCACAAUUUGGGGUCGUCCUCUCCCGAUGUCCCCCAAUGUGCGCCUCAGACGGGCCUUUGAAAAGUUUUCUGUGCGUGUGUGAGUAACUCAGGGGACUCGCAAGUCUUCAAGCCUGAAGAAUUUUUAAUCAGGCGCGCCCCGGACAGCCCAGCACCACGGCCUCAUGGUCCCCUCAUGCAUAUGCAGCAGAUUGUGAUCCUCGCUCGCUGAGCGCCGAGGGGGCGUACCUUAGGCUCCGUAGCUUAGAAACAUACUGGAUGUGGCCUCUCUCUAUUUUGCUGCCUGCGGACUGAGGGAUCAAUGCACCCAUGCCAGGUACACCCAAAAUAACACUGGAA